CCUACGGGUGGCAGCAGUGGGGAAUAUUGCACAAUGGGCGCAAGCCUGAUGCAGCCAUGCCGCGUGUGUGAAGAAGGCCUUCGGGUUGUAAAGCACUUUCAGCGGGGAGGAAGGCGUUAAGGUUAAUAACCUUGGCGAUUGACGUUACCCGCAGAAGAAGCACCGGCUAACUCCGUGCCAGCAGCCGCGGUAAUACGGAGGGUGCAAGCGUUAAUCGGAAUUACUGGGCGUAAAGCGCGCGCAGGCGGUCUGUCAAGUCGGAUGUGAAAUCCCCGGGCUCAACCUGGGAACUGCAUUCGAAACUGGCAGGCUAGAGUCUUGUAGAGGGGGGUAGAAUUCCAGGUGUAGCGGUGAAAUGCGUAGAGAUCUGGAGGAAUACCGGUGGCGAAGGCGGCCCCCUGGACAAAGACUGACGCUCAGGUGCGAAAGCGUGGGGAGCAAACAGGAUUAGAUACCCCAGUAGUC
rnacentral:rRNA from 1 species